rnacentral:rRNA from 1 species
GACAGAGGGUGCAAACGUUGUUCGGAAUUACUGGGCGUAAAGCGUGUGUAGGCGGCUUUGCAAGUCGGAUGUGAAAGCCCCGGGCUCAACCCGGGAAGUGCACUCGAUACUGCAGAACUUGAGUGUGGGAGAGGUUGGUGGAAUUCUCGGUGUAGAGGUGAAAUUCGUAGAUAUCGAGAGGAACACCGGCGGCGAAGGCGGCCAACCUGGACCAACACUGACGCUGAGACACGAAAGCGUGGGGAGCAAACAGG